rnacentral:rRNA from 1 species
GAUGAACGCUAGCGGGAGGCCUAACACAUGCAAGCCGAGCGGUAGAGAUUCUUCGGAAUCUUGAGAGCGGCGUACGGGGGCGGAACACGUGUGCAACCUGCCUUUAUCAGGGGGAUAGCCUUUCGAAAGGAAGAGUAAUACCCCAUAAUAUAUUUGAUGGCAUCAUUAGAUAUGGAAAGCUUUGGCGGAUAGAGAUGGGCACGCGCAAGAUUAGAUAGUUGGUGAGGUAACGGCUCACCAAGUCGAUGAUCUUUAGGGGGCCUGAGAGGGUGAUCCCCCACACUGGUACUGCGCCCCGGACCCGACUCCUACGGGAGGCAGCAGUGAGGAAUAUUGGACAAUGGGUUCGCGCCUGAUCCAGCCGUCCCGCGUGAAGGACGCCGGCCCUAUGGGUUGUAAACUUCUUUUGUACAGGGAUAAACCUACUCUCGUGAGAGUAGCUGAAGGUACUGUACGAAUAAGCACCGGCUAACUCCGUG